CGGGUUAGUAACACGUGGGCAACCUGCCCUGAAGCGGGGGAUAACAUCUGGAAACAGGUGCUAAUACCGCAUAACAACGAAAACCACAUGGUUUUCGUUUCAAAGAUGGUUUCGGCUAUCACUUCGGGAUGGGCCCGCGGUGCAUUAGCUAGUUGGUAGGGCAACGGCUUACCAAGGCAAUGAUGCAUAGCCGAGUUGAGAGACUGAUCGGCCACAUUGGGACUGAUACACGGCCCAAACUCCUACGGGAGGCAGCAGCA
rnacentral:rRNA from 1 species